CUCUUUCUCCUCCCUGCCUAACUGGUGAGGUGGGACUUCAAUGCCUUUUAGGUUUACAGUCUUUUCCUCCCCACGGCUUCUCUUUCCUCCCCGUCUCAGGCACUGGGCAUUUCCAGUCGAUCCAGCAGGUCUGGCUUCUCUCACAUAUGCAGUAAGGGUUAGGGGAGAAGGUCCCAGCUCCUCUUGUCUCUAGCAGAGUGUAAACUGGCUCUGCUGAGGAGGUGGCUGUGCUUUUAUUCCUUCUCCUGAGAACUGUUUAUAUAUUAAGGAGCUUCACAGCCUCCAACAUAAGGAAAGCAGGUAGGAACUGAUCAUAUAACGCUUUGUAAAUGUUUUAGACUUUGGCUUUAAUGGGAAAGAAAUGGGGAGCCAUUCGUGGGUUUUUGAGCAGCAGGUGGACAUUGCUUUUCAUAAUGACCACGCCAGCUGCUGUUUGGAGAAUAGACUGUAGGGGUCACUGCGCAAAUUGGAGGCCGCGAUCCAGGUGAGAACCAGGUGAAACAGAGCUCGGGCCAUGGAGUGGCGCUGGAGGCCUCAAACUUCUUCAUGGGAAAAGAUGGCUUCUCUUUUUUAAUUGAAUGAACUAGAAGAAGUUCAUUGUUAUUCAUCAACUUCAAAGAGACUAUAUGAGGCCCCUUGGCCAGGACUACAGAGCAGUAUUUUUUAAUCAGAAAUUAUAGCCAAAAAGAAGAGACCAGAACACAUGGUCUUUGGUUUUUGUUAUAGCAGCCUGCAUGGACUAAGACAAGCUCAUUUUCUGGAAAGUCUUGAACUAAGUACUUGAAAAUACAAAGAUAAAUGAAGCACAAGUGCUGACUUCAAGGAAAUGCCAGAAUUGAAAGAAACUACUUUAAAUUUCAUAUGGAACCAAAAAAAGCCCAUAUAGCCAAGAUGAUCCUAAGCAAAAAGAGCAAAGCUGGAGGCAUCAUGCUACCUGGCUUCAAACUAUACUACAAGGCUACAGUAACAAAAACAGCAUGGCACUGGUACUAAAACAGAUAUAUAGACCAAUGGAACAGAACAGAGGCCUCAGAAAUAACGCCACACAUCUACAACCAUCUGAUCUUUGACAAACCUGACAAAAACAAGCAAUGAGGAAAGGAUUCCCUAUUUAAUAAAUGGCGUUGGGAAAACUGGCUAGCCAUAUGCAGAAAACUGAAACUGGACCCCUUCCUGAUACCUUAAACAAAAAUUAAUUCAAGGUAGAUUAAGGACUUAAACAUAAGACCUAAAACCAUAAAAACCCUAGAAGAAAAGCUAGGCAAUACCAUUCAGGACACAGGCAUGGGCAAAGACUUCAUGACUAAAACACCAAAAGCAAUGGCAACAAAAGCCAAAAUAGACAAAUG
rnacentral:lncRNA from 1 species